UUCUACAUUGCAAAAGCAAAUAUAGCAUAUAUGAAUACUUUUGGUAUGCAUUUGGUGAUACCUAAAGAUGUAAAAGCUUCUCUGGAAAAGCUCGGUCCCAUUGGAAAAUGAGCUAAGUCAUGGUCAAUACCAGAAACUUUUCUGACAACUACAACAGCAACAUCAUGGAUGGAAAACAAACAUUUAUGUUUACAAUUUCCACAAAAACCUAGUACAAGAAGAUUAGUAUUUAGCUUUUUGCAUGACACUACAAAGAACUUCCCUAGUUUCCGCAUCUAUCCGUGCAAGAUGGGAAAGAAGAGCAUAUCUCUGAACACAAUAGUAAAAUAUCCACCAUCUUUAAUCAUUAACUCUCCUAAGAGAUACAUACUCUAAAAAUCCAAUUACAAAAAAGUACACUUGUAUCGAUGUAACUUCUGAAAUAUUGAUAUAUUUUAGAGGGUAAUAAAAGAAAUUUGAGCAUAUCUGCUAAUCUAUCUACCACAUGAAGAAUGUGAAUGUAACCUGAAAACACAAUAGAAAAUGGCUUACUCGAUAGGUUAUUUUCAUAUUAAAAGCUACCCAAACCAUUUCAAAUAUAAAAUAAGUUUGUUAUAUAAGAUUGUGUGCAGAGUACAUCACAACUUACCUUCCCUUUGAUCCACAAAUAAUUAAAUGACCAGUCAUGCAGGAAGCUUCUCCCAGAUAAUUGACUAAAGAUAUAUACUCUUAAGCUUCCACUAAUUUCAUAUUUCUUCCCUUCCGCAGAAUAAUGCUCUGGUGAGAGUAUGAUAUUUGAUCUGUUUCUGAAGGAAAAGUAAGAAGCAGAAGUACUCAUUAAUUUACAUCAUUAUUCGUGUAUAUUAAUCUAUUACAAGCUGCCCAAUUUCAAUGUGACCGAAAAACCUCAGGCAUAUUUUUACAAAGUUGACGAGACACUGAAACCACAGUCAAGUGUCUUACAAAAAUUUGAUAACACCAUAUAGCCAGGGAUUAAAAUAUGCUGAAGCAUUCUAAUCAUCGUCCUCAAAAACUCUGACGCCUCUGGAUCUAAGAAGUGAUCAAAUUUCAGAACAAUGGUUCAACAUAAUUGACUGAACAAAAAGGAAAGAAAAAGAUAAGUAGAGAGUCAAUGACUUACAAUUACUUUUGUAUACUUAGUAGUUUGGGUGUUAAUUUGUUCUAGUAAUUGUACCAGUUUCUCCUCCAAAACCUGCACGAAUUACAUUACUGAAAGCAAUUGAAAGGAUAAUCUAUCAGAUCCGGAAGUACAAAUAUAUAGAGAAAAAGAAAGCACAUUUUCCAUGAUCUGACCUAUUUGGUAGCUCUGAGUACAACACCUUCAACUCAUCUGGGCUUGUCAGGCAUCACAAGAGCAAUCCGAGCAACUGCAUAUAGCAAAUGAAAUUAAGGCCACUGAUCAUCUCAUGAGAUACUUGGUCCGAGAAAGUUAAGAGAACCGAUGAAAUAAUAACAAAUUCAAUGAAAUCAGGGAAAAGAACAACAAUACUAGAUACAACCUUUAACAAUAAAGGGCCAAGCAACUUCAAGCAAAUACUCCCAAGUCCCUAGCCCCCGAACCCCUUUUCAUACUCACGCAAUGGAAAAGCACAUAACAGAUAUGACUUCAGUAAUUUUUGAGAAUCAGGAAAAGUACGCAAGUUUCACUGUUUAUUAUAGUUGGGCAAAAAUGAAUAAACUAAAAGAGAAAUGAGCAGACGCCAACAUUUCAAGGUCUAGCGUCAUGAUAAACAGUCUAAAGGCCAUAAGCCAAUUUCUCGACAAGAGCUAUUAAACGAGAUGUUUAUCCAGUUAAGAGGGGAAACAAAUAUUGUUCUAACAGUUGGUGCAAAGAUUCCAAAACAUAGUCAAUCAAUCUUGGGUUAAGUUGUUUAGUAUCCCUCUGCAUGCUUAGAACCAGAACUCAUUUCACUACAUAGGAGACUUAUGGACAUACAAUCUUAAAUCUUGAUGCUACAGAAGCACAAAUGAAGUCCAUGUUUCUACAAUAUCGGAGGGUUAUUGAGCUCGUGAAGGUGUCAAUGGAUUUCGAUGCAGACCUUACUCCCAAACCUAGGGUAGAGAGGUCAUUUCCAAUAGACCGCCGACAUCCUUCCCUCCAGAAACUACCCACCUUGCUCUUGGAGUGACUCGAACCCACAACCUCUUGGUUGGAAGUGGAUGAUGCUUACUAUUAGAGCAAACCACCUGGAGAUCUAUAUAAUGUAAAGGUUAAAUUUCUUGCGAGGAAAAGAAUUCAAUAGCCUAAAUAAAAUAACUAUAAAAUCAAAUAAAAAUAAAUUCUCUAGAAAAUCUAUAAUAAUUCACAGAGCACCUAAUGUAGAAAGCAGUGUGAAAAACGAAAUUCUCUAACAAACAUUUACAAUUUACCAGAGUAGAUAAAGCAAAGAGAUUAAACAACCAAAAUACCAAAACAAAGAUAAUAACGGAGUAGGCGACCUCGACUUCUUUGAGACUGAGGCGUAGAUGCUGUUGCUGAUUAAAUAGGCAACCUCACUGAUACAAACAGUCUAAAUCUACCACCAAAUAAAACAAAAUGGGUUUAAAAACAAGUAGAACCCACCUCUCACACUGACAAAUUCUCAAAACAGAACCGCAACCACCUUAUUCAUGGUGAAUAACUAAUUAAAAUUGUAAUGCAACAUGAAAAAUUGACCUGUCAUUCAAGAUGUUUGACCAAAGAAUGCAAAUUGAUCCCAAAAUCCAUUUUUAAUUUCAGAAAUAGCGCAUGAAUCUUCUGGAAGAAUCUUUUUUCUUUCCAUUUUGAAAAGAAUUUCAACCACUUGUUAGUUACUUAUUCCAAAUCCUACUCCAGGAAAUCUCCCCUGGGAACCAACUAACUAGUGUUACUGAUAGCAAAUGUCACGACCCAAACCCGCGUCAUGAUGGCGCCAGACACCUUGUUAGGCAAACCAGAUCAUUUAAAAAAUUCCCAGCCAAAUCAUUAACUUAAAUACUAUUUUUAGCUUAAAUUCUCAGCUUGAUAACAAUAGAAAUACUACGAAAAGCGUAAUUAACAGUAAUAACAGCCCAAAGGAUCCGGCGUCACAAAUUUGAGCCUCUAAGUACACUGAACAGUAUCCUAAACAUAGAAAAUCUAGAUAUGGAAGCAAAGGUAGAUAAGAGGAGAGAUCAGGUCCUGCGGACGUCAGCAACUACCUCGAUAUCUCUGGAACCGAACUGGGCAACAACGAAUAAGCACAGCUAAGACUCCGGGAUCCCUCUAUCUGCACACAAGGUGCAGGGAGUAUAGUGAGUACUUCCAACUCAGUGAGUAAUAGCAAUAAAUAACAUCAGAAUAAUGCUAAAGGGGGGGGUGCAGCCCGAUCCAAUAUAAUAUAUAUAAUGCUGCGGCGUGCAGCCCGAUCCAAUGUAAUAUAUAUAAUGCUGCGGAGUGCAGCCCGAUCCAAUAUAAUAUAUAUCAAAUACCCUCACUACGGGGUUCUUGACCCCUCUCAGUCAAUAUAGACUUGGCCUCUCGGGCCACUCAACUAAGACAGGGUAUUCAACCCUAGGUAUUGCUCAUUUAGGGUACAAGUUACUGCGUCCAGUUUAUUUAAUGAUUUACAGUCAAUGUCGGGACAGAUGGUAUGUGUUCAAUAGGUAAAGUGAGGUAAAUCGGUUCAACAUGCUCCCUAGGAGUUCUAAAAAUCGGCAAAAGGCCCAAACAUGGCAACUAGCCCCAGAUAUACGGGUACAAGCUUAGCCCCAGUCAAAAAGUGCAGUAAGUCAUCAAUCGGGAUGGACCAAGUCCGAGUCCCCACCAUAAAUGUCACCACUCUCAUCAUAUGACGCGUGUUUUAUCUCAACAUAACACCGCAUAGUGCAAAUACGGAGUUUCGAACCCUCAGUAUAUCAUUCAUAAUCAUUACUCACCUCAAACCGGCCAAAAUCCUAGCUCGCCUUGCGCUUUCCUCGCAAAUCGGCCUCCUCGGCUGCAGAAUCUGACCAAAACCCCAAGGAAUAUAUUAUAAUAGGCUAAUCCCUCACAAAUCGACCUCCUCGGGUGCAUAAUCUGACCAAAACAACAAGGAAUAUGUUAGAAUAGGCUAAUGGGACAUAACCCAAUAUAAAGAACUCGAAAAAUACCCAAAAAUACGAAAUUGGCAAAACCCGAGCCCCGGGCCUACUUCUUAAAAAAUUAUGAAAUUCAUAUCAUCGGAAUCCUCGUCUCGCCACGAGCCCGAACAUGUAAAGUUCAUCAAAAUCGGAGUUCAAAUGGGCCAUCAAAUCCUAAAUUUUCACUUCAAAAACCAUGCCCUAGUUUCUUCAAAUUUUACCCAAUUUUCAGAGAAUUAAUGGAUGAUUCUUCGAUUAAAUAACGUAUUUAGGCCACGAGACUUACCUCCAAUUACUUCCCGUCGAAAUCCCCUUCAAAAUCUACCAACAAGCUCUCAAGGUGGUGCAAAAAUGGUGCAAAAAUGAACGCAAGUCGCGAUGAAAUGUCCUUAAAACAAGUCUGUCUGCCCAGUUAUUACCCUAUGCAAUCGCAUCACAUCCAUUGCGAUCGCAUAGCACAAACUUCCUCCUUCCCAAAAUAGCACUAUGCGAUCGCAUAAAACACACCACUUCCAGGGAGCCCAGGCCCAACAGCCCUAUGCGAACACAUACCCCCUUGUGCGAACGCACAACUCAAUCUCCCAGACCAAUGCGAUCGCAUACCACCUAGUGCGAACGCAUAGCACAAAAACAGACCCCUUUCCCAGCCUCCUAUGUGAUCGCAUAGAGGAAACCUUCUGCAAUAUUUCUGCUGAACUUCUGCAACUUUCAAACAUUCAAACACUCUCCGAUAACCACUCGAAACCAUACCGAGGCCCUCCGAACCUCAACCAACAGCACCAACAUACCCCAAAACAUCAUACAAACUAGUUCCAAUCAUAAAAACACACUCAACAACACAAAAAUCAUCAAUUCACGACGGAUUCAAGCCUAAGUUAAACUAAAACUUCUGAAACUCAUAUUCCAUCAAAAACCGAUCAAACGACAUCCGAUUGACCUGAAAAUUUGCAGACAUAUCCAAAAUCACCUAAAGAAGCUACAACAACUCUCGGAAUUCCAUUCCGACCCCCGGAUCAAAAUCUCACCUAUCAACCGGAAUUCGCCGAAAUUCAAACUUAGCCAAUUCAAAUCUAAUUCUACAUCGAACCUCCAAAUUCAAUUCCGAUUUUACUCCCAAGUCUUAAAUAACCACCCAAAACUAACCGAGUCAUCGAAAAUCCAUUCUAAGCCAUAUGACCCAUAAGUCAACAUCCGCUUGACUUUUUCAAACUAGCCUUCACUUAAAUAGACUAACUGUCUCAAUUCCAACCAAACUCUAUCCGAAUCACUUCAAACUCUACAAACACAUGUGAUGAAACAUAUAUAAGUAUAAAAUGGGGAAAACAAGGCGAUAACUCACGUGACGACGGGCCGGAUCGUCACAUCCUCCCCAACUAAAAUAAACACUCUUCCUCGAGCGGGUCAAGAAACAUACUUGGAGCCUCAAACAAAUAAGGAUAUCUGCUCUGCAUCUCCUGCUCGGUCUCCCAAGUGGCCUCCUCCACGGGCCGACCUAUCCACUGCACCUUUACUGAAGCUAUGUCCUUUGAUCUCAACUUUCAAACCUGACGACCGAAACUAGCCACUGGCUCCACAUCAUAGGACAAGUACUCAUCCAACUGGAUCGUACUGAAGUCUAAUACAUGAGACAGGUCCUUAACAUACUUCCCGAGCAUAGAAACAUGGAACACCGGGUGAACCCCCGACAAGUUGGGUGGCAAAUCAAGCAUAUAAGCCACCUCCCCAAUCCUCCUGAGUAUCUCAAAAGGUCUAAUGAGCGUACACAACUUCCCUUUCUUUCCAAACCUCAUCCCACCUUUCAUAGGCGAAACCUUCAACAAAACCUUCUCGCCCACAAUAUAAGAUACAUCCUGAACCUUCCGGUCUGCAUAACUCUUCUGGCGACUGAGCCGUACGAAGUCUCUCCUGGAUAACUUUCACUUUCUCGAAGGCAUCCUGAACUAACUUUGUCCCCAAUAGUCUAGCCUCAUCGGGCUUAAACCAGCUAACUAGAGAUCUACAUUGUCUCCCAUAUAAAGCCUCAUACGGUGCCAUCUGAAUGCUGGACUAAUAACUGUUGUUAUAAGUAAACUCUGCAAGCGGCAAGAACUCAGCCCAAGAACCUGCAAAAUCAAUAACGCAGGCUCGCAACAUGUCCUCCAAUAUCUGAAUAGUACGCUCGGACUGCCCGUCUGUCUAUGGAUGAAAAGUCGUGCUCAUUUGAAUCUAAUUGCCCAACUCCCGAUGGAAAGUCCUCCAGAACUGGAAAGAAAACUGAGUACCCCUAUUUGAGACAAUAGAAACUGGAACCCCAUGCAACCGUACAAUCUCACGGAUGAAAAUCUUUGCCAACUGCUCCGAAGAAUAGGUGGUACACACCGGAAUGAAGUGCGCAGACUUGGUCAGCCUAUCUACAAUCACCCAAAUAGAAUAAAAGUUCCUCGAGGUAUGAGGGAGCCAACUCACAAAGUCCAUAGUAAUCUUCUCCCAUUUCCACUCUGGAAUAUCCAUCUGCUGAAGUACCGCAGAUUUGGUCAGCCUGUCCACAAUCACCCAAAUAGAAUAAAAGUUCCUCGAUGUACGAGGGAGACCACUCACAAAUUCCAUAAUAAUCCUCUCCUAUUUCUACUCUGGAAUAUCCAUCUGCUGAAGCACACCACCGGGUCUGUGAUGUUCAUAUUUGACCUGCUGACAAUAUAGACACCAAGCCACAUAACUCAAAAUAUCCUUUUUCAUUCUCCUCCACCAAUAAUGCUGCCUUAAGUCCUGGUACAUCUUCGCGGCACCCGGAUGAAUAGAAUACCGCGAGCUGUGGGCCUUCUCUAAUAUCAACUCUCGGAGCCCAUACACAUUGGGCACGCAAAUCCGACCCUGCAUCUGUAACACACCAUCACUGCUAAUAGUCACAUCUCUGGCAUCAUAAUGAUGGACCCUGUCCUUUAGGACAAGCAAAUGUGGGUCAUCAUACUAGCGUUCCCUGAUGCGAUAGUACAAAAAAGAAUGGGAAACCACACAAGCCAACACCCGGCUGGCCUCUGAAAUAUCUAACCUCACCAUCCGAUUAGCCAAGGCCUGAAGACUGCAAGGGGCCUCUCCCCAACUGGAAUGUAUGCCAAGCUACCCAUACUCACCGCCUUCCGGCUCAAAGCAUCAGCCUCUACAUUAGCCUUCUCCGAAUGAUACAAUAUGGUAAUAUCAUAAUCCUUGAGUAACUCAAGCCACCUCCGCUGUCUAAAAUUGAGGUCCUUCUACUUAAACAAGUGCUCGAUAUUGUGAUGAUCCUAAUCAGCCCAUAGGAUACGCCAUAUAGAUAGUGCCUCCAAAUCUUCAAAUCAUGAACUAUAGCAGCCAACUCCAAGUCAUGAACAUGGUAGUUUUUCUCAUGGGGCUUCAAUUGCCGAGAAGCAAUGUAAUCACUUUACCCUCUUGCAUCAGAACAUAUCCAAUACCAAUCCUCAAAGCAUCGCAAUAUACCGUAUAAGAACCGUUUUUCUCAUGGGGCUUUAGUUGACGCGAAGCAUAUGCAAUAACUCUACCCUCCUACACCAAUACAUAUACGAUCCCAACUCUCGAAGCAUCACAAUAUACCAAGAGCCUGAAACUAAUGGCAAUACUAGUACCGAAGUUGUAAUCAAAGAUGACUUGAGCUUUUGAAAGCUCUCCUAACACUCAUCCGAUCACACAAAUGGAGCAUUCUUCUGCGUCAACUUCGUGAAAGGCGAAGCAAUAGAUAAAAAACCCUGAAUGAACAUGCGGUAAUAACCCGCCAAACUGAGAAAACUCCGAAUCUCAGUAGCUGAGGACGGUCUGGGCCAACUCUAGACCGCCUCGAUCUUCUUUGGGUCGACCUGAAUACCAUCACUGGACACCACGUGCCCCAGAAAAGCCACGGAACUGAGCCAGAACUCACACUUGGAGAACUUUGCAUAAAGUUUAUCCUCUCUCAACCUCUGCAAUACCACCCUCAAGUGCUGCGCGUGCUCCUCCUGGCUACGCGAGUACACCGAUAUAUCAUUAAUAAACACGAUCACAAAAAAAUCCAGAUACGGCCGAAAUACACUAUUCAUCAAGUGCAUGAAUGCGGCUGGAGCGUUAGUCAGCCCAAAUGACAUAACCAGAAACUCAUAAUGCCCAUAUCUCAUCCUGAAAGCGGUCUUCAUGAUAUCAGAAUCCUUAAUGUUCAGCUGGUGAUAGCCUGAAGGAGAUCAAUCUUAGAGAACACCUUCGCCCCCCGAAGCUGGUCAAACAAAUCCUCAAUACGGGGUAGUGGAUACUUGUUCUUUACUGUCACUUUGUUCAACUAUCUGCAAUCAAUGCACAUUCUCAUUGUGCCAUCCGUCUUCUUUACAAAUAACACCGGUGCGCCCCACGGCAACACACUAAGCGAAUGAACCCCUUAUCUAGGAGUUCCUACACCUGCUCCUUCAACUCCUUUAGCUCUGCUGGUGCCAUAGGAUAGGGAGGAAUAGAGAUGCGAUGAGUGCCCGACACCAAAUAAAUACCGAAGUCAACAUCCCUAUCCGGCGAGAAGCCCGGUAGGUCUAUUGGAAACACACAAAUGGUGCAUUAUUCUGCGUGAACUUCGUCAAAGGCGAAGCAAUAGAUUAUAAACCCUGAACAAAUCUACGGUAGUAACCUGGCAAACCGAGGAAACUUCGAAUCUCACUAGCUGAGGAUGGUUUGGGCCAACUCUUUACUGCCUCGAUCUUCUUUGGGUUAACUUGAGUACCAUUUCUGGACACCACGUGUCCCAGAAAAACCACGGAACUAAUCCACAACUCACACUUGGAGAACUUUGCAUAAAGCUUCUCCUCUCUCAACCUCUUGAAUACCACCCUCAAGUGUUGCACGCACUCCUCCUGGCUACGCGAGUACACCAGUAUAUCAUCAAUAAACACGAUCAUAAAGGAAUCCAAAUACGGCCAAAAUACGAUGUUCAUCAAGUGCAUAAAUGCGACUGGGGCAUUAGUCAGCCCAAAUGACAUAACCAUAAACUCAUAAUGACCAUGUCUCAUCCUGAAAGCUAUCUUCAUGAUGUCAGAAUCUCUAAUAUUUGGGUGGUGAUAGCCUGAACGGAGAUCAAUCUUAGAGAAUAACUUUGCUCACUGAAGCUGGUAAAACAAAUCCUCAAUACAGGGUAGUGGAUACUUGUUGUUUACUGUCACUUUGUUCAACUUCCUAUAAUCAAUGUGCAUUCUCAUUGUGCCAUCCUUCUUCUUUACAAAUAACAUCGGUGCGCCCCAUGGCGACACACUCGGACGAAUGAACCCCUUAUCUAGGAGUUCCUACAGCUGCUCUUUCAACUCCUUUAGCUCGGCUGGUGCCAUACGAUAGGGAGGAAUAGAGAUGGGCUGAGCGUCCGGCACCAAACCAAUACCGAAGUCAAUAUCCCUGUCCAGGGGCAUGCCCGACAGGUCUGCCGGAAACACAUCAGGAAAUUCCCUCACCACGGGGAUCGAACCAAGACUAGGAGCUUCAGCUCCAACAUCACUCACAAAUUCUAGAUAUGACAAACACCCUUUCCCAACUAUCCGAUGGGCCUUUAAGAAAGAGAUUACCCUGCUGGGUACAUAAUCGGUCGUACCACGCCACACGAUCCUCGAAAUACCCGGCAUGGCCAAUGUGACUGUCUUGGCGUGACAGUCCAUAAUAGCAUGGAAUGGUGAUAGACAAUCCAUGCCUAGAAUAAUAUCAAAAUCUACCAUGCUAAAUAGCUGCAAGUCAACUCGGGUCUCUAGACCCCCAAUAGUAACAAAACAGGACCGAUACACGUGGUCCACAAUAAUAGUAUCACCCAUCGGGGUAGAUACAUGCACAGGUAACGCUAGAUACCCUCGGGUAGUCCCCAAAUGAUGAACAAAGUAAGAAGAUAGAUAAGAAUAUGUGGAUCCGGGAUCAAAUAAAACUGAGGCAUCCCUGUGGCAGACAGAAAUAAUACCUGUAAUAACAGCAUCCGAAGCAACAACAUCUGACCUGCCCUGAAGAGCGUAGCAACAGGCCUGACCACCACCAGAUCGGCAUCCCCCUCUGGGGCGACCCCUAAAUGCCUGACCCUCACCCCUAGCUGACUACGCGGGUGCUGAAGACACUGGGCCAGAAGAUGAAGGCUGGCCUUUCUACUGAGAUGAACUGGAUGUACGGCGGGGACAAUCUUUUCGUAUAUGCCCAAACUCGCCACACACAUAACAACUCCCUGGAGUUGGGGGCUGGGACUGAAGAGAACCCGUUGCACUAGAGUAGCUGGCUAAAGAACUAGGCCGAGAUGAACCCUCAACAGAUGGGGCAUAAGACGAACUCUGCGCUGGAAGUGCACUCAGAGAUGGCUGACUCUGCUGAGAGCCCUAAUAACCCCGCCCUAAUAACCCCGACCAGAAGAUGAACCACGAUACUCUGACCGAGCUGGCUAUGGAGGCCUGAAAGAACGACCCCUGCUCUACUGAAUCUGGACCCUAGAGGGAGCACCAUUGGAGCCCCCUGAUCCUUGAGGCCUCCCACUACUCUCUCUCCUGACGGCGAACCGUCUCAAUAUCACGGGCUAUAUCCACCGCCUUCUCAAAGGUGCGACUCAAGACCCUCUCACGAGUCAUCAGAAUACGAAUGGGAUAAAUGAGUCCGUCCACAAAUCGCAUGAUCCUCUCCUGGUCCGUCGGAACCAUCCACGAGCAUAACGAGCUAACUUUGCAAAUCUCACCUCAUACUACGUCACAGACAUAUCCCCCUGACGAAGCCACUCAAACUUCCUGCGCAACUAUUCUCUAUGCGACCGAGGUACCCACUUCUACAGAAUGAUAGUGGAGAACUCCUGCCAAGAUAACGGUGCAGCACCUGCUGGCCUACGCCGCUCAUAUGCCUCCCACCAUGUAAAGGCUGCUCCUGAGAACUGAAAAGUGGUAAAAGAUACCCCACUCGUCUCUAAUCUCCAAGAUCCCUGCUGUCUGAAACAUGCAUUGACAUUUGUCGAGAAACCCCUGGGCAACCUCGUCCGGUACACCACUGAAAGCAAGAGGUGAAAGCCUGCUGAACCUCUCAAGACGACGUUGCUCGUCAUCUAGCAUCACUGGCACCCCAUCACCCUGAACCGAAACAAUUGGUUGAACAGGGGCAACUGGCUGAACUGGUGGUGCCUCUGGAGUCUGCAAACCCUGUACACCCUUCUCUCGAGUGCGAGCUGCGGGGGUUUGAUGACCACCCCCGAUCUGAGAUAUAGCCGCGGUGGUAGUAGCCGAGACUGCCUGAGCCAGGCCAGUGCGAACCGAUAAGAUCUGAGCCAGGGCCUCCUAAAGACCCAGAAUCAAAAUAGGCACUGCUGGUGCCGGAGCAGGUGCUACUAGAACCUCUGCAGUUGGAGGCUGAUCCUGAAUGGGGGCAACUGGUGGUUCAACUGGUGCUUCCCUUGCUGCUCCGCCUCGACCACGGCCACGUCCUCGGCCUCUAGUUGGUGGCAAUGGUGGUUGUCCACCAUGCCCGGUAGCACGCGUUCUCGCCAUCUGCGAGAGAAUAGGGUACAAAAGUUUAGUUUUUAGAUCAACAAAAUCGCACGACAAGAAUUUCAAGAAUAUGAAGUUUUUCCUAAAGGUUCUCCAGCCUCUCAAGGAUAAGUACAGACGUCUCUGCACCGAUCCACGAGACUCUACUAAACUGGCUCAUGACUCGCGAGGCCUGGUAACCUAGGCUCUGAUACCAACUUGUCACGGACCAAACCCUGGUCUUGAUGGAACCAAACACAUUUUUAGGCAAGCCUGACCAUUUAAACAUUCCUAGCCAAAUUAUUAACUUAAAUACUAUUUUUAGCUUAAAAUUCUCAGUUUGAUAAAAAUAGAAAUACUGCGGACAUGUAAAACAUUCCCAGCCAAAUCAUUACCUUAAAUACCAUUUUUAGCUUAAUAUUCUCAGUUUGAUAACAAAAGAAAUACUGCGAAAGAUGUAAUUAAUAGUAAUAACAGCCCAAAGGAUCCGGCGUCACAAGUCUGAGCCUCUAAGUACACUGAACAGUAUCCUAAACACAGAAAAUCUAGAUAUGGAAGCAAAGGUAGAUAAGAGGAGAGAUCAGGUCCUGCGGACGCAAGCAGCUACCUCGAUAUCUCUGGAACUGAACUAGCCAACAACGAAUAAGCACAUCUAAGCCUCCGAGAUCCCUGUAUCUGCACACAAGGUGCAGAGAGUAGAGUGAGUACUUGCAACUCAGUGAGUAAUAGCAAUAAAUAACAACUGAAUGUAAGAAAUAUGGUAAAAACACUAUACAUUUCUAAUAUCAACAGUGACGAUAGUGAAUAAUGCUAAACAGGGGGGGAAGAAUCUGAUAAAUACUUCUCUUUGCGUCCGACUAGUUACUAACACUACUACGGCACGCAGCCCGAUCCAAUACUAUAUAUAUAAUGUUGCGGUGUGCAUCCCGAUCCAAUAUAUAUAUAUAAUGCUGCGGUGCGCAGCCCGAUCCAAUAAUAUAAUUCUGCGCUCACUGGGGGGGGGGGGGGGCAAANNNNNNNNNNNNNNNNNNNNNNNNNNNNNNNNNNNNNNNNNNNNNNNNNNNNNNNNNNNNNNNNNNNNNNNNNNNNNNNNNNNNNNNNNNNNNNNNNNNNNGGGGGGGGGGGGGUGCAAACUCCGAAGGGGCUCCUUCAGCCCAAGCUCUAUAAUACUUCGGUGUGCAACUCGAUCCAUAUAAUGUAUAUAAUGCUGCGGCGUGCAGCCCGAUCCAAUAUAAUAUAUAUAAUGCUGCGGCCUGCAGCCCGAUCCAAUGUAACAUAUACAAUGCUGCGGCGUGCGUCCCGAUCCAAUAUAAUAUAUGUAAUGUUGUGGCGUGCAGCCCGAUCCAAUAUAAUAUAUACAAUGCUGCAGCGUACAGCUCGAUCCAAUAUAAUAUAUAUAAUUUUGCGACGUGCAGCCCGAUCCAAUAAUAUAUAUAUAUAUAUAUAUAUAAUACCCUCACUACGGGGUCCUUGACCCCUCUCAGUCAAUAUAGACUUGGCCUCUCGGGCCCACUCAGCUAAGACAUGGUAUUAAAUCCUAGGUAUUGCUCAUUUAGGGUACAAGUUACUACGUCCAGUCUAUUUCAUAAUUUACAGUCAAAGUCAGGACAGAUGGUAUGUGUUCAAUAGGUAAACUGAUAUCAAUCGGCUCAACAUGCUCCCUAGGAGUUCUACAGAUCGGCACAAGGCCUCAAACAUGGCAACUAUCCCUAGAUAUACGGUACAAGCUUAUCCCAGUCAAAAAGUGCAGUAAGUCAUCAAUCGGCAUGGACUACGUCCGAGUCCCCAGCAGAAACAUCACCACGCUCAUCAUAUGACGCGUGUUUUAUCUCAACAUAGCACUGCACAAUGCAAAUACAGGGUUUCGAACCCCUAGUAUAUCAUUCAUAACCAUUACUUACCUCAAACUGACCAAAAUCCUAGCUCGCCUUGCGCUUCCCUCGCAAAUCGACCUCCUAUGGUGCAGAAUCUGACCAAAACCACAAGGAAUAUGUUAUAAUAGGCUAAUGGAACAUAACCCAAUAGAAAGAACUCAAAAAAUACCCAAAAAUACGAAGUUGGUAAAACCCGAGCCCCGGGCCCACUUCUCGAAAAAUUAUGAAAAUCACAUCAUCGGAAUCCUUAUUUCGCCAUGAGUCCGAAUAUAUAAAGUUCAUCAAAAUCAAAGUUCAAAUGGGCCAUCAAAUCCUCAAUUUUCAUUUCAAAAAUCAAGCCUUCGUUUCUUCAAUUUUUAUCCAAUUUUCAGAGAAUUAAUGGAUGAUUCUUCGAUUAAAUGACGUAUCUAGGUCACGAGACUUACCUCCAAUCACUUCCCAUCGAAAUCCCCUUCAAAAUCUACCAACAAGCUCUCNNNNNNNNNNNNNNNNNNNNNNNNNNNNNNNNNNNNNNNNNNNNNNNNNNNNNNNNNNNNNNNNNNNNNNNNNNNNNNNNNNNNNNNNNNNNNNNNNNNNNNNNNNNNNNNNNNNNNNNNNNNUGUCUGCCCAGUUAUUACCCUAUGCGAUCGCAUCACAUCCAUUGCGAUCGCAUAGCACAAACUUCCUCCUUCCCAAAAUAACACUAUGCGAUCGCAUAGAACACACCACUGCCAGGGACCCCAGGCCCAACAACCCUAUGCGAAUGCAUACCCCCUUGUGCGAAUGCAUAGCUCAAUCUCCCAGACCAAUGCGAUCGCAUACCACCAAGUGCGAAUGCAUAGCACAAAAACAAACCCCUCUCCCAGCCUCUUAUGCGAUCACAAUUCCACCUAAACCUUCUGCAACAUUUUUCUGCUGAACUUCUGCAACUUUCAAACAUUCAAACACUCUCCGAUAACCACUCGAAACCAUCCUAAGGCACUCGGGACCUCAACGAAAAGCACCAACAUACCCCAAAACAUCAUACGAACUAGUUCCAAUCAUAAAAACACGCCCAACAACACAAAAAUCAUCAAUUCACGACGGAUUCAAGCCUAAGUUAAAAUAAAACUUCUGAAACCCAUAUUCGAUCAAAAACCCGACCAAACAAAAUUCGAUUGACCUAAAAAUUUGCAGACAUAUCCAAAAUCACCUAACGAAGCUACAACAACUUUGGAAUUCCAUUCCGACCCCCGGAUCAAAAUCUCACCUAUCAACCGGGAUUCGCCGAAAUUAAAACUUAGCCUAUUCAAGCCUAAUUCUACACCGGACCUCCAAAUUCAAUUCCGAUUUCACUCCCAAGUCAUAAAACAACACCCGAAACUAGUCAAAUUGUCGGAAAUCCAUUCUGAUCCCUAUGACCCAUAAGUCAACAUCCGGUUGACUUUUCCAAACUAGCCUUCACUUAAAGAGACUAACUAUCUCAAUUCCAACCAAACUCUGUCUAAAUCACUUCAAACUCUACAAACACAUGUGAUGAAACAUAUAGAAGCAUAAAACGGGGAAAAAUUGGGCGGUAACUCACGUGAUGACGGGCCAGAUCGUCACACCAAAUACACCAAAAAAGAGAACUUUACACAACCACAUGCACAACAAACACCUCCAAAUGAGAAAGAUCAAAUACCAAACUUAUGUUCAUCAAAAUAAUUCAUAAUAUACAAUAAAAAAACAAGAUUUAACAAGCAGCUACAUAUUUUCCACUCUCAAAAACAACUUGAAUUAAGCUCGCUCAAUUUAGAACCACAAGCAUCAGUUUUCUUUAUCUUGACUCCUAAAAUCUUUAAAUUAACCAUCAUAAUUAUCAUCAGCAAAUAACAUAAGCAUAAAACAAAAAAAACUAAGCUUUUUAACUCCACCCCCAAAACCAACAUGGAAAAGAAGUAAAAGACAAGAACACCACAAGCAUAAUUUUAAUUAAUAACAGGAAAAUUACCAAGCACUUCAAAGUUGAAACAUGUUCAUUAAAAUAAACACUUACAGUAAGGCUAGAGAAAAAAAACCUGAAAACAAUAAAGUAUGGAUAUGCAAAAGAAAAGAGGGUUUAUAAUCUCGAUGAAGUUUCGUUUUUUUUAUUUUGUUUCUUAUUUUGAUGUUCAGAGGACACGGUUUUCACUCAUCUUUUAUCAGACACAAUUGACCCACCACACCACCACUCAGCGUCAUUAGUUUCAGCAUCCUUUUCAGCAGAUAUUACUGAAUGUGAAAGAAAUUAGUAAAUGCUAAUUUUACUGAGUGAAAUAAAAGACUAUCAUUUUAUUAGUAUUAUCCCAAUGAGGCCAACUAAUCAAUUGUUCAAGGAAAGCAAAAUCUUAUCAGAAUUAUAAAGUAAAGCAUCCUUCUUUGGGAAAAUUAUCAGUGUUCCAACACCGAAUUCACUAAAUUAAAUAGAGAAACUUUGAUAAUGCUUAAUAAUCAAUCACAACCACAUAACAAACUGCUACUCACAUGAUAUCUAGGUUGGUACAUAUAGUAUGAGAAAUUAGUAAUGAAAAUUAAGCAAAUCUAAGUUAACAACUAGGUCACAAACUAAAUACUAAAACAAAAAAUUAGUCUAAAAACAAAGAACAAAAAUAGAAGGAAAAAAGACAUAAGUAAACCUAGGGAUUGGUAUUUGUAAAAAUGCUGGAAAAUAGUAAAGCUGAUGACAGAUGAGGUUCCUAAUCCAGAUACAAAAUUACAGCAUCUGCAUCGAAGCAAAUAAAAACUAGAUGGAAAAGCAUAUAUAUAUAUAUAUAUAACAUGGUGAUGGUGGUGACUUGCCACGGUGACGGAUCCGGUUGAUAGCCGGUUAGGGAAUUGGGAUAAACAAAAAUAGAAGAAAAAGAAAUAUUUAGACGGUGGCUAAAUUAGAGUUGAAUUUAGUGGGUCAUUUUUGUUGUUUACAAGGAAGGAAUGGGUGAGCGGGAAUGAAAAUUAAGAGGAAAAAAGUUGGAUUGAAUAUAAAAUAGUGAAAGCUGGACUUUUAUUAAACUUCUAAUGCUCUGUCUUUCAAUUGCCAAUGUAAGUGUAUCUAUUCCUGCAAUUAAUCUAUUUCCAGUAAUAUUAGUCAAUUAGCGGCAAAUCACUUAUUGCCACAAAAUAAUAAGCGCUAUUGGUAGUUUUUGAACUAG
rnacentral:lncRNA from 1 species